UCGUGUAACAGCUAUAUAAGCGGCUGCUCGUCCCUUUCAUCAUUGUAACAUAUUAGACGCUUGACUUGAGACGCUCUCCACCCGGCUUACUCCGUACUCUGCAAUGGCGUCAAACGUGUCGUCCGUGGUUUCUGCUGUGAUUGUCUUUCUCUUGGUGCUAUGUACGUUCACGUCCACUUACUCCUUGAACAGGGAGACGCGAGCAUAUGGUUUAAUGGAUGGCCAGUGCACCAAGACAACACCGUGCAAGUGGACCAUCUGUCCGUGGACAAUUAGUCCAAUAUCACAAGAAGCCGACUUUAUUUCUGAAUGCGAAACUGUUCAAAAUGAUUGCAAGUGUCCGCAAUCGACCCAAUGCAGGGUCUCUAUGCUUAUCGACCACGGCUUCUACACCAGCAAGAUUCAGUGGCUUUGCAUGUG